rnacentral:rRNA from 1 species
UGGGGAAUUUUGGACAAUGGGCGAAAGCCUGAUCCAGCAAUGCCGCGUGUGUGAAGAAGGCCUUCGGGUUGUAAAGCACUUUUGUCCGGAAAGAAAUCCUUGGCUCUAAUACAGUCGGGGGAUGACGGUACCGGAAGAAUAAGCACCGGCUAACUACGUGCCAGCAGCCGCGGUAAUACGUAGGGUGCAAGCGUUAAUCGGAAUUACUGGGCGUAAAGCGUGCGCAGGCGGUUUGCUAAGACCGAUGUGAAAUCCCCGGGCUCAACCUGGGAACUGCAUUGGUGACUGGCAGGCUAGAGUAUGGCAGAGGGGGGUAGAAUUCCACGUGUAGCAGUGAAAUGCGUAGAGAUGUGGAGGAAUACCGAUGGCGAAGGCAGCCCCCUGGGCCAAAUACUGACGCUCAUGCACGAAAGCGUGGGGAGCAAACAGGAUUAGAUACCCUGGUAGUCCAGCGCCCUAAACGAUGUCAACUAGUUGUUGGGGAUUCAUUUCCUUAGUAACGUAGCUAACGCGUGAAGUUGACCGCCUGGGGAGUACGGUCGCAAGAUUAAAACUCAAAGGAA